UUUUUUUAUGAAUGGAGCGCAGGCGGCGGCUGCGCGUGCACCGCGCCCCCCCGCCCGGGCCUGCAGGUGGUGAUCACCCAGGUACCCCGGUAAGCAGAGCCAUCGGAGUCUCACCCCUGCCACUGCCAGAAUGUGCCUGCAGACCAGCCCCAGGAUGUGCCAGGCAUGGAGCUGGGUGAGGGAUGCACAAAGAAUGCCAAGGGGCUUGAAGGUGCUGCUGUGUGCGGGUGAAGGAUCCAGUUUCUGUGAAA